rnacentral:rRNA from 1 species
GAUGAACGCUGGCGGCGUGCUUAACACAUGCAAGUCGAACGGUGAACGAGGGAGCUUGCUCCCUCCGGAUCAGUGGCGAACGGGUGAGUAACACGUGAGCAAUCUGCCCUGGACUCUGGGAUAAGCGUUGGAAACGACGUCUAAUACCGGAUACGAGGCGUGGGGGCGUCCCCAACGCCUGGAAAGAACUUCGGUCCAGGAUGAGAUCGCGGCCUAUCAGCGUGUUGGUGAGGUAACGGCUCACCAAGGCGACGACGGGUAGCCGGGCUGAGAGGGUGACCGGCCACACUGGGACUGAGACACGGCCCAGACUCCUACGGGAGGCAGCAGUGGGGAAUAUUGCACAAUGGGCGCAAGCCUGAUGCAGCAACGCCGCGUGAGGGACGACGGCCUUCGGGUUGUAAACCUCUUUUAGCAGGGAAGAAGCGAAAGUGACGGUACCUGCAGAAAAAGCACCGGCUAACUACGUGCCAGCCGCCGCGGUAAAAC